CUGACAUGAGCAACUUCGGAAAGGAAGGGUCAUGAGCCAGGCUCACAGCCUUGGGAGAAGGCAUGCUGGCAGGAGCUUGAGGCUGCUGGUUACCCUGCUGCAGUCAGAAAAGGGAAAGAUGAAAGGGAUACUUUGUUCUCUUUGUCCUUUUCCCUCUUUACUUCAGGACCCCAGCUCAUGAGAUGGGGUUAUCCACAUUUAAGGUGUGUCUUCCCGCCUUGGUUAACCCAAUCUAGAAACUCCCUUUCCCACAUACCAGAGAUUUGUCUCCUAGGUGAGUCUAGCCCCUGUCAAGAUGGCAUCCACAUUAACAGAGUGUACCCCAGCUCUCACCCCUUCUGCCCUCACACAACCCACAAUCCCUUUCAUCACCGGCACAACUGCCGAGCACAGGUAGAGCAAAGGUGUGCAGAGCGUGUUGUUGCACGAGGACAUUCGAGCUUGCAGGAAGGAGCUGGGAUCACCUCUCCUCUCGCCAUGGUAUGAGCCUGGCACAAGGCCACAUAUGCCAGGGAAAGGCAGCAUUUGUUGUAGCCUAGAAGUAGAUGAAGUAGGCCUGGCUGCAUGUCGGACCCACCCGAGUCACACAAGGGUACUGGAGGCCAUCCGGAGCCUGGGCCUUGUGACAAUGCCAAGCCCAUACCAAUGUAUACACUACUUUAUUCUCCGUAGUGUUUGACACAGUCCUCAGUCCAUGGGUUCCACGUCUUCCUUCCAGGACUUCCUCCUGCUCCCUCAGCUUUCUUUGACUCAGUACUUGGCCUUCCCCAUUCUCUGUUCUCUGGGGCACCAUCAAAGCCAAGCUAAAUGCAAUGAGUAAUAGCACUUGACCCCCCAGAUCAGACCCAGAUCAGUGCUGGCCUAGGUUCCUGCCUUAGCUCGGCCCAAUGGAGUCCCCAGCCCUCCUCCUGCACUUAUCCACCCAGGUCAAACUCUGGAAGCCACCUCUACAACCAAUCUUCAGAUAAAGUCUGAGAUAUCCCACCUGUGUCCCAAGUUGGCCACUUCUGGUCAGCUCAUUGCCAUCGCACUAGCCCAGCCACCUUCUCUCCCCUGACUGUGGUCUCAUAACUGGUUUCACCCCACGGCCCCAAUGGACAGACCUCACACUCUCUUGUUCAAAUUCAUCCAUUGCCUCUCUGUGGCUUGGUCCUACCAGCCACCAUCUUCACAUGACCUCCAGAGUCCUCCACUGUCUCUCUCCCAGCCCCUCUGACCUCUUCUUCCCCAACCUCAUGAGCAUCCUCUCUUGUGCCAGGCACAUCUGACCUCAGGGCCCUUGUCUGCGAUGUGUCUCCUUCCUUAAACCCUCCUACCCCCAGAGACCUGCACAGCCCCACAGCUCUCCUGCCAGCUAGUAAUGCCCCCAUCUGUCACCUCCACCUUCUAUCCCCCUGCUUUCUUUCCCUCCACAAUAUAUGGGCUCUGGUCACUUAGUCACUCUGGCUGUCUGCCUCUCCCAACACCAUCACCUAGACCAUAGGCUCCAUGACAGUUUGAAUUGUGUUCUCUUUCCAUCUAUAUCCCUGAGAGCUAGAUGGGUGACUGACACCACAGGCAUUCAGAUGAUGAACCCAUCAGAAGAUAAAGAAGAUUAAAGAGGGCUUUGAAAUUAAAACAAUCAAGAAAAAAACAGGGGUGUAGUGAGCCCCAGCCUUCGGGUGAGAGCUACUUCAGCAGCUGCAGGGAAGGCCUCUCAGGAGAGUUCCCCAGACCUGGGAGACACACAAUCCAGGCUCCAGUGACUUCCCAAUCACAGCUUGUACCUCCAUAUUGUCAAACAGCUGCUCCUUGGUUAAGUCCCUCUCUCUUUUCUGAGUCCCCAGAUCCACCAUAAGCCAAGAAAGUAUACAAUAUGAACUAAACAGUGCUGAACCAAAAAAUGGAUACAAGGCCAAUGGGCCGACUCCUAUACAGGCCAACAAGUCCACAGGGCCAGAGGGAAGCCUCGUGUCAGCCGCCUAGGCAGGGAGAUACAGAGGCUGGGGGCAGUCCUCAGAAUCUCACAGUGUUAUCUGGAAAUAGGAAUACUACCUAAAACCUGUGUGGGGGAUAGGAAAGACCCUUCCCACUGGACAGCCCCUGUCUGGGAGGAUCAGCAAGUGAGAGGUGGGAAAGCAAGAUGGGGCAUCGGGAAAGGAGGGCUGCAGAGGACCCAGGUUUGCCCCUCCCCUCCCUUGGCAAAUGUGCUUCCAACCAGGAGCCAGGACAGUGGACAAAGGCUUGCAGGGGAGGGCCAGGGACUUGUAGUGCCUAGAGCCAGCCGGCGGCGGGCCCAGGGCACAGCGGUGCAUGACCCAGAACUCCAUCUGAGGGCCUUUGUGGGCCUCCGGGAGCCUGUCCAGGAAAAUGCAGGAAUUUUGGGGUUGGGCUGGUAACUCCUUGCUUUUUGAGGGCCGUCCAGGCCUGAGUAAUAAGGGGUUCAAGGAGUACCCCCUCUGCCCUACCAGGUCCUAGCUGCUGCGACUACAGUGCCAGCCAGGUGCCAUUCACUUCUGACUUCAGGGAAAGAGUGAAUGAGCCAGGCAGCUUCUGAUUUGAAGCUGAACCUCCCCUCUCCCCCAGUGCUCCCAAGAAGAGAGUAUGACGAGCUUUCUCAAAAGCGGAGGACACCUGACAAGUUGGAUCUUGCCCAGGCUGGCUGAGUCCAGAUCGCAGGUUCCCAGGAGAGCAAGUGGGUGCUGGAGGGAGCGGGCCAGGCGGAUGGCUUCCUGCUGCCCUCUGCUGGUAGCACUUUGAAUUACAGUGUAUCACGUCACCGAGCCAGCAUUUACUGCGGGUCCACGCGGAAGAGCAGCCCGGCAUUCUCUUACUAGGUGAGCAGAUAUAGUCACAGGAGUCAUCACUUGGCCUAAUCCACGCCAGACCUCCAACCACAACUGUCUAUCGCCAGUGUGGAGUCCAGAUCCUCGCUUCCUCAGGAAGUCCUUUAUCUAUUCCAACCUUAUUUCCUCAACUUCGUCCAGCAUGUCCCCAAAGACCAUGCUCUUUCGCAAAUAUGGAUGGAAAUGGAGACUCUCCUGUCGCAUAGUGACCGAGGACGCCUCUUCCGUCUGCACUUCGCCCCAAGUUUUGAUGUAUCAGGAAAAGUAGGAGUGUCACCGCCCUGUUCCGUCCUGCCCUACAUUCCCGGUGUCCAGGAAAAAGGAAUUGAUCAAGAAGUGCUCUUUUGGGGUUGGGCCGCCACCUGCUGGUAAACACAGAAACUGCAACAGUCCCACCAGGUAGAAGCCUGACCCGGGAGAGCAGGGCUUCUGCCAAGUCCUUUCAAGAGAUGAGAAUAUGAGGUAGACUUCCAUAUAACACAGGCUAGCCUCAAACUAGCUAUGUGCCCGACGCUGUCCGUAAAGUCUUCUACGUGCUGAGACUGCAGGAAUGUGUCACCUCUAUUAAGUCAUCCACACUGCCUGCCUGUGGGAACCUGGAAGCCCCGCCUCUGCCAUCCAGCUAGCAUCUUUAUCGAUCGACCAAAAACCAAUUGGAGAACAGGACCUUCCGUGUUCACACGCAGAUUCCUGAUCAAAGCAUCAGAAACACGCCCUACACAGGAGGCAGAAACAGGCGGGUCUCUGAGAGUUCGAGGCCAACCUGGUCUGCCUAGUGAGUUUCACAUCAGCCAAACAUACAAAGUGAGACCCUGUCAAAACAAAAAAAAAAAACAGACAAACAAAAACCAACAACAACAAAACUUCUCACUCUUCUUCAAAAAGGGGGUAGGAAGAAGCAAGGUGUGACGAGAUGGAUGUUUAUAAUGAUAUCAAUAGUAGUAAUAAGAAGCAGAAAGUAGGUUAGGAGGCCUGGGGUGUGACUCAGUGGCAGGAAGGAAGAUGAAGAAGGCCAAGGAGCAGGAUAAGGGAUAGGGAAGCCUGCAAGGUAAGGGGUGGGUGACUCUACAGGUCGAACCAAGUGAGAGGAGCUAAGGUAUGGUGGGCACUCCUUCAUAGGGGACCAAGAGAGUCAGGCAUGGGCACAGACCUUCCCUCACUCUGCCCUGGGGAGCUCUGAAGCUAUCAAAGCAGACCCCAGGCAGAAGUGGAGCCCUCGAAGACUGAAGGACCCUGCUGUGGAGUAAGUGCCCAAGCCUGGCUCAUGUGGUAGCUGGUCCCCGGCUAAAACAUGUAAGAAUGAAGGGUCUGUGCAAACCACUUACUGCAUGGUGUCACUAAGUAGGUAAGAAGAUGGGGAUACCACAUUAAAUAGAAUGCUACUGGGAUACUCUUAAUGGGGGGUGGGACUUUGUUACGUCAGGAGAGGUCCAAGGUGGAAUUAGAGCCAGUGGUAAGGCACUGAGGUCACAUGGGCAUGCCAUGGCCCAGCAAUGAAGAAUGCAGGGUUUGAGAGGUGGAGUAGGGAAACAGAAGCAAAUUAUGUGGGGUCUCCUGGACCAUGUGAAGCCUGUGGCGCUUAGUGACAUAAGGCACUACCAAAGAUCCAAGGCAGACAGGUAGCUCGAUUCCACAUGUGUUUUAAGGAGUCCUUUAGUUUCUGUGCUGAGAACGAGAUUGGAGCUAAGUCAUAAUGACAACAGGAACCAGCUAGGAGGGACAAGAGCAGCUAAGCUGGCCACACCAUCUUCCCCUUCCCUUUCCCCCCUCAGUCCCCACGAGUGUAGCCUCCCUCUUGAAAUCAUGGCCUCUUUCUCUUUGUUAUUGUUAUACAUAGAUACAAAUACCCAAAGAUGUUUUUAGAUUCUCAGCGUAUUUGAUGUUGCUUGUGUAUAUAAGAUUUCAGGGGGUUGGGGAUUUAGCUCAGUGGUAGAGCGCUUGCCUAGCAAGCGCAAGGCCCUGAGUUCAGUCCCCAGCUCCGAAAAAAAGAAAAAAGAGAAAGAUUUCAGGUCUGACCACUUGAUAUCACACAACCAGCUAGGGGCUCAUCUGGGGAAAGAUCAUUUCUCCACUCUCAGCAUUCCUUAGUAGAAGUGGCAGCUAUGCAAAUGAUAUUUUUAUUAAAUUUAUUUAUUACAUUUAAAUUAUGAAUUAAAUUAACUAUCCUCCCUCAAAGAGUAAGCUAAAAAUAUACCUUUGGGGCAAGAAAAUAAGCUCUCCAAUGAAGAAGGAAGGGAUCAGAGGACCAGAAAUGGAGGAGGAAGAAGUGAGGGCAGGUCUGACCAGUGUCCAGAGAAGGAUCCGAUCCACCUGUAACAGCCAAGAAGGGGAAACCCUACUGACCACAGCCAUGACAGGUAGCAGCUCCCACUAACAGAGGCAGCAAUUGGAUGACCUACAGAACUCAAGAAAGAACGACAGAGUCAUCAUGGUGGUGCAUGCCCUCAAUACCAGCACUCGAGAGGCAAAGGCAGGCAGAUUCCUGAGUUUGAGGACAGCCUGGGCUACAAACAGGAACCUUGUCUCAAAAGCAAUAAAUACAUCUUAACAGGAAAAGUUCUGGAAGUAGAUUCUGUAGCAGUUAUGCCACAUUACCAUGUCUUCCACGGCACUGAGUCGUACUCUGUAUGUUUGGUACUGAUGGGUCUCAGGGUCUCAAACAUCCAAGACUGACUUCAAGGUCGCUAUGUAGUCAAAGACAACCUUGAACUUGUGUGUGUGUGUGUGUGUGUGUGUGUGUGUGUGUGUGUACAUGUGGAUUGGUUUGUGUGUCUGUGUCUGUGUGUUUGUGUAUGUGUGUGUUUGUGUGUGUGUGUGUGUACAUGUGGGUUGGUGUGUGUGUGUCUGUGUCUGUGUGUUUGUGUGUGUGUGUGUUUGUGUGUGAGAGAGAGAGAAUGUGUGUGUGAGAGAGAGAAUAUGUGUGUGUGAGAGAGAGAGAGAGAUGGAGGGAGAGAGAGAGAGAGAGAGAGAGAGAGAGAGAGAACAAGAACUAGACCUCAUGAUUCAGCUAGACUUGCUGGCCAGAAAAUCCCAGGAAUUUGCCUCCCCAGAGCUGGGAUAUAGACAUGUCUCUAUGCCCAGCUGUUUCCAUGGGUGAUAGUCAUCUGAAGUCACAUUCUAAUGACAUUUAUAUGCCUGUCUUCAUGCAUAUGUGUGUGGAUAUAUAGAGCCACUAUCCACAACAAAUGCACACAUAGAUCCACAAUAAAAACUAAGCAAAAUCAAACAUUUAAAAAAAAUAAUAGCGAAGAAAUGUUUAUUAUCCUCCUGCAAGCUGCAAGCUGGAUGCAGAUGCUGCGCAGGCAGCUGGGAGCCCAGCAGGCUCAGGCUUCUUACCCCACCUCCUCUUCUCUUCAGUUUUGGGGGCCCCUCAGUGGUAAAUCAGAACCAACAGCCAUGACAUGAUUCACCAUCUCCAUGGAGAUCUCUAGGUCACUGCUGGUGAAUGCUGUGCAAAGGCCACAGCCAGAACCCACAGCUGCCCCGCUGCCAGGGCCCUGCAGCUCUCGAGUGACCUGUGCCAAAGAUUACACAAAUAGAGCAAGGCCCGAGAAACAUGCCACCAAGAUCAGGCAUUUUUGUUUGUGUUUUGUUUGGUCUUGUCUUAAAAGCAGAGUCUUACCAUGCACCCCAGGCUGACCUCCAACUUGAGAUCCCCCUGCCUGAGUGUUCUAGGAGCUGAGCUCUAGACCUGAGCCACUGCCCCUGGAUUAACAAGGACGUCAUGACGAUUUGCCAUCAUGCGUUUUCAGAGACUUGAAACCAAAUUCUAGACAACGAAGUGAGGGUUGAACCAGGGUGUUUGGGUCAGACUGUCCACGUUCUUCAUGUGUGUGUGGGUGUAUAUGUACAUGUAUGUAGGUGUAUGUGGAGGUCAGAGGCACCCUCCAGUGUCAUUCCUCAAGGACACUUUUCACCUUCUUUGAGACAAGGUGUCUCAUUGGCCUGAAACUCUGUAUGUGGGUUAGGCUAAGCUGGGGGCUAGGGACACCCCUGCCUCUACCUCCCAAUGCUGGGAUUACAAACUGGAGUUAGAGGCACUCAGAGCACACUUGUCUUAUGGUAACACUGGUUCUGGGUAUCAAACACGCACUUUUAUAACUGAACUCUCUUCCCAGCCCCAAGCUUCCUAGACUUUCAUUCUCGCUCUGCCAUUUCCGGGUUAACCUGGGCGAGUUAUUUAACCUCUCUGUGCUUCUAUUUCCUCUUCUCUGGGAUGGACUUUGUGUCAGCGACUGCAGAAUGGGAUGAAUGGGAUGAGUUUGGGAUAUGCUGCUCUCCUGUGUCAAGGCAUUUGAAGGGUUAACUCAAUGCCCACAAGAUGGAAUUGAACGGCAAGCAGAAGAGUUGACACUCAGGUUCCUAUGAAUCAAUUAUACAAGUCUGGGCUCAGGAAAGCCAGCUGGGUGCCUGCUCUGGAGUCUGAGGGUCCAGUCGAUGCCAGGGCAGCUGCAGACAAACCAGUUACUGUGAUCUUCUGGGCACACUGGGGUAGCCACAGAGAGUGGCUCUAGCUGAUGUGGGCGGCCCCGUCUCGUGCUUUGAGCUGAGAACCUCACAGUGGAGGCCAUCUUUUGUUGGUGGGAAUAUAAACUGUACAGUCAGGGCCUGGGAGAUGACUCGGCAGGUACAAGGGCCUGCUACCCCAGGAUGGAGGCCCGACAUCUGAAUGUGAUCCCCAGAUCCACAUAAGGUGGAAGGAGAGAGCCAACUCCAUGACUUUAUCCUCUGACCUCCAGGUGCUCACUGUGGUCGCCACGCCCACACAACGCAUCCUGCACAUGCACAACAAUAAUGAAAGUUUAAAAAUAAACAGGACAAAGUGUACGAGCACACUGUGAAGGAGUUGUGUCUGAUAAAAACCAAGCAUAUGCUGACCUGUGACUCAUUUGCAAGUCCUCAAGAAAAAAGAACGUUGUCCACAAAGCACUGUCCAAAGGUCAGUAAGACAGUUUAACAAGUAAGAUCCACAUAAAGAGUGGGAAGGUGGAGAGAUGACUCAGAGGUUAAGAGCACUGGAUGAUCUUCCAGAGGUCCUGAGUUCAAUU